rnacentral:rRNA from 1 species
GACGAACGCUGGCGGCGUGCUUAACACAUGCAAGUCGAACGGAAAGGCCCUGCUUUUGUGGGGUGCUCGAGUGGCGAACGGGUGAGUAACACGUGAGUAACCUGCCCUUGACUUUGGGAUAACUUCAGGAAACUGGGGCUAAUACCGGAUAGGAGCUCCUGCUGCAUGGUGGGGGUUGGAAAGUUUCGGCGGUUGGGGAUGGACUCGCGGCUUAUCAGCUUGUUGGUGGGGUAGUGGCUUACCAAGGCUUUGACGGGUAGCCGGCCUGAGAGGGUGACCGGCCACAUUGGGACUGAGAUACGGCCAAGACUCCUACGGGAGGAAGCAGUGGGGAAUAUUGCACAAUGGGCGGAAGCCUGAUGCAGCAACGCCGCGUGCGGGAUGACGGCCUUCGGGUUGUAAACCGCUUUCGCCUGUGACGAAGCGUGGGUGACGGUAAUGGGUAAAGAAGCACCGGCUAACUACGUG